rnacentral:rRNA from 1 species
UACGUAGGGUGCAAGCGUUAAUCGGAAUUACUGGGCGUAAAGUGUGCGCAGGCGGUUUUGUAAGUCUGUCGUGAAAGCCCCGGGCUCAACCUGGGAAUUGCGAUGGAGACUGCAAGGCUUGAAUCUGGCAGAGGGGGGUAGAAUUCCACGUGUAGCAGUGAAAUGCGUAGAGAUGUGGAGGAACACCGAUGGCGAAGGCAGCCCCCUGGGUCAAGAUUGACGCUCAUGCACGAAAGCGUGGGGAGCGAACAGG